UACGAAGGGGGCUAGCGUUGCUCGGAAUCACUGGGCGUAAAGGGUGCGUAGGCGGGUCUUUAAGUCAGGGGUGAAAUCCUGGAGCUCAACUCCAGAACUGCCUUUGAUACUGAAGAUCUUGAGUUCGGGAGAGGUGAUUGGAACUGCGAGUGUAGAGGUGAAAUUCGUAGAUAUUCGCAAGAACACCAGUGGCGAAGGCGGCUCACUGGCCCGAUACUGACGCUGAGGCACGAAAGCGUGGGGGAGCAAACAGG
rnacentral:rRNA from 1 species